AGCGCAGGUGGGAAGACAAGUUGGAAGUGAAAUCUAUGGGCUCAACCCAUAAACUGCUUUCAAAACUGUUUUUCUUGAGUAGUGCAGAGGUAGGCGGAAUUCCCGGUGUAGCGGUGGAAUGCGUAGAUAUCGGGAGGAACACCAGUGGCGAAGGCGGCCUACUGGGCACCAACUGACGCUGAGGCUCGAAAGUGUGGGUAGCAAACA
rnacentral:rRNA from 1 species